UACGAAGGGGGCUAGCGUUGCUCGGAAUGACUGGGCGUAAAGGGCGCGUAGGCGGAUUGCACAGUCAGAUGUGAAAUUCCCGGGCUUAACCUGGGGGCUGCAUUUGAUACGUGUGAUCUAGAGUGGGGAAGAGGGUCGUGGAAUUCCCAGUGUAGAGGUGAAAUUCGUAGAUAUUGGGAAGAACACCGGUGGCGAAGGCGGCGACCUGGUCCUUGACUGACGCUGAGGCGCGAAAGCGUGGGGAGCAAACAGG
rnacentral:rRNA from 1 species